rnacentral:tRNA from 1 species
GGUGGCUCAAUGGUAGAGUGCGUGCCUUACAUGCAUGAGAUCCUGGGUUUGAUUCCUCAGCACCA